rnacentral:rRNA from 1 species
GGUUGAACCUGGCAUUAUUCCUAUGGUUGUCUCCAAGAUUAAGCC